AGCCGCAUGCAGGUAAACGGGUGGCGUCAAGCUGCGAGCCCGGAGGAUUCAGCUGGCUGGGAUGUAGUGUACGCACGCCUGGUGCGUCGAGAGGCCGGAAUAAGAUGUUUGUGUGGCGGUCCACUCCUCUGCUAGGAGUGGAGUGCGAUCGGUGUGCGCUUGCGCGUGCCGGUUGUUGCUAUGUAUGCCGGGUGGGUACCGGAGCAUGCCGCUCAUCUGUUGGGCCACCUAGUCAGUGCAUUUUCUCCGUGGUGAACACCACGACCGGUGGAACUGCCAGUCUGCUGUGAUCAAGUCGUGUCCUCCCGGUGCGUUACUGUGCUUGGUGGGCACGAUCGCAGGCGGAGUCGGUGAACGGCGCAGUGGUGCUUCGGUACUGCCGCGUGUUAUCGCGCACUCUCCGUCGUAAGCGGUUAGUGGAGUUGACUGAGUGCUAUGACCACUUACUCUCUAGCCGGCGGAUCGCAGUGGUGAAAGGGACUGUGCAGGGCACCGGAGUUGUCCACCUCAUUCAAUAUGGUACCCGGCACGCACGUUACAGGUGUAGGGAUGCGCCGCUGUCUGCCUGGUGUUGGGCCUGGCUGUCGUGUUGCCUGCGCAAAGUGGGUCCGGCAGUGGUUUCGACGCUUGGUAUUGGCAGUGUGCUGCGUGUCUCGGGUGUCUGUGGUACCGGGGGUGAAAUAGUCAGUGGUGCUGUGGUAGACGAGCUACCCGACCCGUCUUGAAACACGGACCAAGGAGUUUAACAUGUGUGCGAGUCAAAGGGUCCUACGAAACCCCUAGGCGCAGUGAAAGUGAAGUUCAUGCUGCAUUUCUGCACGCGCGCAGUGCAGUGUGGCGAGGUGAGAUCUCGUUGUACUCAUGACACACGCCGCAGACCUUACUGGGCAUUGCUGGGGCAACGAGCGCAUCACCGGCCCGUCCCAUGAUGUGGUCAUAGGUCCACUUGUGCGUGGAGUGGCAACACUAAGCGUACAAAGCCUGUGCGUCAUCGGGGCGGAGCAUGAGCACACACGUUGAGACCCGAAAGAUGGUGAACUAUGCUUGCGUAGGUUGAAGCCAGAGGAAACUCUGGUGGAGGACCGUAGCGAUUCUGACGUGCAAAUCGAUCGUCAAAC
rnacentral:rRNA from 1 species